rnacentral:misc_RNA from 1 species
GUCAAGUUUAGAGGUUAUGAAAUCUACUUCAUUCAGUUACCUUGCCAAUGACAGAAGAAAAAAUAGAAGCAGAAAAACAAUGAUAAAGCAACAAACCUACAUAGCACAUUUCUCAUUCUCAUUAGAAAUUGAAUCUAACUGCAUAAAAUCUUUGGCAGAGACGGUAAUGCAAGUUGAAAUAAAUGCAUUGUAAUCACAGCAACAUUAACAAAUCAAGAAGAAAUAUAUAAAAGUAUAUAGUUCUGUAACAAAGGGGAGUUACAACACUGUAAUUGAAAAAUAAAUAACAUAGACAGCUUGAGACAAAAUGAAACUUACGGUUUUCUCCCAAAUUGUCUGAU